GGGGUGCCGGGGUUCUGUGUGAAAGGAACGCGCAAUAAAAACUGGUAUGUUCUCCCUCAGAAAAGCAAGCGAAGAAACCAGCAGGCCUCGCGCCUCCGGCCUUCCCCGAGCACCGCAGGACGCCGCGGGCCGCCAGCUCUACGAGGCAGGGAGGGCGGAGGCGCGAUUGCCGCUGCAGACUCGUGGGCCCUCGCCGUGGUUUGGCCACAUACCGCGGACGUGGAAGCAGCGUGACGAACCAGGAGACACCGUGUCCCGCGGGGCCGCGCAAAGGGUGUCGCAGAGACGGCAGUGGGUCGGACAUGGGGCUUGGAAACACCCUCCCAGUCCCAGGGCUUCCUUUUUCUCCCUUGACUGUGUCACUGUCAAGUCCAAUGUCAUGAAAUUUUCCUCAUGUUCUUCUGGGAGUUUUACUUAAGCUCUCCACCAUGCUCUGGCACCCUCCUGCUUUCAUUAGCCUCCAACCUGCUAUUCAAACUGAUCUGCCAUCACCAUCAGCACUCUGAGUCACACAAGACAGAAAAGUCCCAACAGCCCACAGAAAAGUCAGAGCAAAGAACUUCCACUUUUUCCUUCCACCCUGAGGAACCAGAAAUCGAGUGGCUCCCUCCUGACUGUUCCACGCCAGGGAGGCAGUGGGCCUUGAAGGUUUUGUUUGGAAUAUUUUGAGCACGACUCUUUCACGGUUGUAUGUUCAUUUGGUUGCUACAGAUCCUUCACUGGUUUCUAGAGUUCUCACAAAGCUGCUUCAGCCAGCACAGUGUUUAGCUGGUUUCUGUGGUGGAACGAGAGCCUAGGGUUCCUACUCUGCCACUUUGCUCACACCAACCAGAUGUCCCCUUUUCUCCCCCAUUGACCCCUCCACCCUGCAUCCGCACCACCACCAAUAUGCUCUCUUUUCCUCUAGUAAAAUUAUGUAAUAAUUUUGAGAUACAUUCAUUUUGUCGCAAUACUUGGGUCAUUCUUUCCUUUGUAUUAAUUAAUAAUAUUUCAUUGUAUGAAUGUGCUAUGAUUUGUUCAUCCAUUUUCCUAGUUGGAGUUAUUUCUAGUUUUUUACUGUUAUGAAUAAAACUCAUAAGAAUAUGAGUUUUACAAGC